rnacentral:lncRNA from 1 species
AGAGAUUUGAAACCACUUAAAGCAUUUCUUUUUAAUUUUUGGUUAAAAAGCAUUUGACAACUUGUCAUAGAUGUAUAAAAUGCAAAAUAUUGAAUAAAAGUGUCUUUGAUAAAGGAGGUAUGCAACUUUGAGUUUGACAAAGUGUAGCUUCAACACGAAGAAACUGAGAUCAUUUAGAAAGAAUAAAAGCAAAACCUAGCUCCUCCUUAAAUCCAUUAGAUAUAGAAAAUCAUUUGUAGUCAACUUCGAAAUCGAUUAUGAGUGAUGACUUUGAACUUUUCAAUAUAUUUAUUUGAUUUGUCGACAAAAAAAAUACCUAAGUUAAUUCUGUAAACUAGAAUGCUUUUUUUUUU